rnacentral:lncRNA from 1 species
CAUCUUUCAAAGGACAGCGGAUGGGUGAUGCUCUUGAAGGAUCCAUGGUGGCCAGGCAGAAAGAGGCAGGGGUCUGUGCAUCUGGGGGCCCCCCGGGGGCCCUGCAGGCUUCCCCCAGGCAGGAGCUGAGGGAGGCAGGUGUGUCUGUGGGGGGCGGGUGGGAGCAGCCAGUCAGGAGCUCAGGAUGGCCAAAGCCCCAGCUUCCCGCUACCCCUCCUGCCUUCCCCACUCUGGGAAGGGAAAUUACAUUUCCCCAUUUUAGCAAGAAGGAAGACUGAUUGAAUGCAAAGCUGAAAGUACAAGUAGGAAGGAAAGUGAAACCGGUGCAGCCCCCAGUAUAAGACUCCCCUACCAGGAGAUGGCUGCGCAAAGAGGCCGGGCCCUGACAUGGGCUUCACAGAAGGCGACCUUGGUUGGCGGCUUAGCCUGCUGCCGCUCUCCAUGCUCCUGGUGCAAGCCGGUGUCUGGGGAUUCCCAAGGCCACCAGGGAGGCCAACACUGCGGGAGAGGGAGCUGCGCGCGGAAUUCGCUGUCAGCCUGCAACUCGCCAGGAAGCUGCUCACGGGGGUUCAGGGCCAGGCCCACCGCUUUGUGGAAUCACACCUGUCCGGAGUGAGCCUGGACCUCCUGCCCCAGCCACAGCAGCUCCCCAAUGCGUCCCUGACCUUCCAGGCCUGGCGCCACCUCCGCGACCCAGAGCGACUCUGCUUCCUCUCCGUAACGCUUCGGCCCUUCCGCGCCCCGCUGAGGAGGCUGGGGAGCCAAAGGCUCUGGAACAGCUCGGAGAGGAUGCAGCUGCAGGUGAUGAGGCUGGAUCUGCGGGAUCUGCAGCGCCAUCUCCGCUUCCAGG